UACGUAGGGUGCGAGCGUUAAUCGGAAUUACUGGGCGUAAGGCGUGCGCAGGCGGCUUUGCAAGACAGAUGUGAAAUCCCCGGGCUCAACCUGGGAACUGCAUUUGUGACUGCAAGGCUAGAGUACGGCAGAGGGGGAUGGAAUUCCGCGUGUAGCAGUGAAAUGCGUAGAUAUGCGGAGGAACACCAAUGGCGAAGGCAAUCCCCUGGGCCUGUACUGACGCUCAUGCACGAAAGCGUGGGGAGCAAACAGG
rnacentral:rRNA from 1 species